rnacentral:rRNA from 1 species
CGAACGGGUGAGUAGUACAUCGGAACGUGCCCAGUCGUGGGGGAUAACUACUCGAAAGAGUAGCUAAUACCGCAUACGAUCUGAGGAUGAAAGCGGGGGACCUUCGGGCCUCGCGCGAUUGGAGCGGCCGAUGGCAGAUUAGGUAGUUGGUGGGAUAAAAGCUUACCAAGCCGACGAUCUGUAGCUGGUCUGAGAGGACGACCAGCCACACUGGGACUGAGACACGGCCCAGACUCCUACGGGAGGCAGCAGGA